GACGAACCGUGCGAACGUUAUUCGGAAUCACUGGGCUUAAAGCGCGUGUAGGCGGGACGGCACGUCGGUCGCUGAAAUCCCCCGGCUUAACCGGGGAACGGGCGCCGAUACGACCGCCCUGGAGGGACGUAGGGGGACCUGGAACUUCCGGUGGAGCGGUGAAAUGCGUUGAGAUCGGAAGGAACGCCCGUGGCGAAAGCGGCUCACUGGACCACAACUGACGCUGAUGCACGAAAGCUAGGGGAGCAAACAGG
rnacentral:rRNA from 1 species